UUGUCGGCAAAUUAAAAAGCCGAGAGCGGCGGAGGUUUCCGUGGCAGGAUCUGCAAGUCAGCAAACUGCACGACCGAGUUUAAAAACAAAACAAACACAAACGAACAAGGCCUGUCCCAGGGGAGACGGGGGUCUCUGUCUGUGUUGUUGUGAUGCAGCUGGAAGCAGCCGGGUUCCUGCUGUGUAAGAACUACAUCCGGGCAGCCAGGCGAGGGAUCAGUGUGAGCACAGUGUGGCACAGGUCCAGUGAUAAUUAUUAUCAUCUACUGGGAGUGAGACAGGAUGCUUCCCUGGAUCAGAUCAAACAGGCUUUCUUCAAGAGUCCAG